rnacentral:lncRNA from 1 species
AUGAGAGAAAGCGUGUUCAUCCUGAUGUUCAUCUUUUUAGCAGCACUGUAUUUUCAUCCAUGUUCUACAGUCUCGUGGAAGUUACGGCACUGGAAGGGACUGCUCAUGUUCUCCAAGGACAAAUGUGAAAACAGGUGUAAAGUUAAACACGGGUAUUUCAGGGCCGACCUUGGCCAGUACCAGAUCGCUUCUAAGGCCAAGCGAAACAUCAUCCCCGGAAAAUGUCAGUGCAUGGUAUCACCGGAGCUUAGGAAGUAUAUCACACAAAAACAUAGCCUCAAGGAGGCCAAUCGUUAUGGACGCCUGAAUUUCUUCGGCAAGACGCAGAAAGGACGUAAGCGACUCCAGGCGAUUGAAUUCGUCACUUACGGCGAGUUACAAGAGAUAACGGCGAAGAGGAAGGUCGCCGAACAAGAGAGGUUCGCGGCGAUCAAACGAGCUGCUGCUGCGACUGAGAACGAGGUUGCCAGCAGGAACUCCUCCACAGGAGAAAACAGAACUUCUUCCAUCGGGGUGAAACAGAGAGAGGCUAGCGCGGUGGGAAAGGGUGGGACUACCGAGGUGGGACAGAGUGGGACUACCGGGGUGGGACAAGGCAAGCCUUCUACCCCUAGGGCGGUGAAAAACUUUGGCGCUAUCCACCAGGCAGCCAUCGAAAAUCAAUCAUUCGCGGCAUUGACGGGGAAGAUCUUAACGGAAGAGGAGACGGACGAGUUGUUGAAUACCAUCGGUGCAAAUGAACCGCGUUAAGUAGAAAGGAACCAAGCUAGCCACGUUUGAUAUUGCCAACUUUGAUUGGGAAAUUCAAAUUUUUACAUGGUUCACAAGAUUCGUGGUUGGACAGGAUCGCAAUAUUGAUUAUUAUUUUUAGUUAAAAUUUGCUAUUAUUAUUAAUGAUAAUUUGAUUUGACAGUACGGAUAGUACCGAAUUCACAUCAAGAUCGAAACGAGAAAAAAAUAUUUGAAAUCUUAUUUCUAUUUAAGACGACAAGAUUGCUUAUUUAUUAUUAUUAUUUUUAAUUGAUAAUUGUUAUUAUGAUUCUUGAUUAAUUUGAUUUAGCAGUAAGGAUAGUAUCUGGACCGAAUUCACACAAGAUCAGACCGAGAAAAAAAUAUUCGAAAUCUUAUUCCAAGUUAAGACUGUGUGAUAGAUACGUUGAAUCUUUCUUUUCGUAUUCAAAAUAUUUGAUCUCUGGUUUGUAUUUUUGACAGGAGAUAUUGUGUGACUGGUUAAACGUAAAACUACUCCUAACUAAUUUUCCCCCAAUGUGCAAUUUAUUUCCUCUCUGCGCUGAGAGUUUAUUCAGUUUAUUCUUCAUUUAAAAUCAUACUGAUUCUUUCAAUUACGGUUUGCUUUUAGUUGUGCUUUUUUGUUAAUCAUUAUCUAAAGUUUCUACAGUGAAAGUUUGUUAUGCCUCUGAAAAUGGCACUAUGUGCCGAAAGGUCUCAGGCGUUGUUAAUAAAAUUUGACAGCAAAAUGUUACAAAAUCAGUAUUUUUUCAUUUUA